rfam:Cladophialophora immunda strain CBS 83496 unplaced genomic scaffold supercont1.2, whole genome shotgun sequence.
UUUCAUGAUGAACAAGAGCUAUAAGCUCGACAUAAUCCCAGCUCGUCGACAGCAGUCUCACCCAAAAUCUCACGUUUAGAGGCUGUUAUGAGAGGAAGUCCAACCCUGAAAC